rfam:Schistosoma haematobium scaffold1187_13, whole genome shotgun sequence.
AUAAAGCUGACGAGUUUCAAAUAGGACGAAACACACGUCCUAGAU